GAUGAACGCUGGCGGCGUGCCUAAUACAUGCAAGUCGAGCGAACAGACGAGGAGCUUGCUCCUCUGACGUUAGCGGCGGACGGGUGAGUAACACGUGGAUAACCUACCUAUAAGACUGGGAUAACUUCGGGAAACCGGAGCUAAUACCGGAUAAUAUAUUGAACCGCAUGGUUCAAUAGUGAAAGACGGUUUUGCUGUCACUUAUAGAUGGAUCCGCGCCGCAUUAGCUAGUUGGUAAGGUAACGGCUUACCAAGGCGACGAUGCGUAGCCGACCUGAGAGGGUGAUCGGCCACACUGGAACUGAGACACGGUCCAGACUCCUACGGGAGGCAGCAGUAGGGAAUCUUGCGCAAUGGGCGAAAGCCUGACGGAGCAACGCCGCGUGAUUGAUGAAGGUCUUCGGAUCGUAAAACUCUGUUAUUAGGGAAGAACAAAUGUGUAAGUAACUAUGCACGUCUUGACGGUACCUAAUCAGAAAGCCACGGCUAACUACGUG
rnacentral:rRNA from 1 species